GGCUUAGAAGCAGCCACCAUUUAAAGAGUGCGUAAUAGCUCACUGGUCGAGAGACUCUGCGCCGAAAAUGUCCGGGGCUAAAGUGUAAAACCGAAGUCGUGUCAUAUGCAGCAAUGUAUAUGGGUAGGGGAGCGUUCUCAUCGGGCUGAAGCAGUACCGUAAGGAGUUGUGGACUGAUGAGAAGUGAGAAUGUCGGUAUGAGUAGCGAAAAGAAUGGUGAGAAUCCAUUCCACCGAAAGCCUAAGGGUUCCUGAGCAACGAUCGUCGUCUCAGGGUAAGUCGGGACCUAAGCCGAGGCGGAAAAGCGUAGGCGAUGGACAACAGGUUGAAAUUCCUGUACCGGUGUGAAUCGUUUGAUCGAUGGAGUGACACAGUAAGGUAGGUCAGCACGCGAUUGGAAGUGCGUGUUUAAGCAUGUAGGUUGAGCUAUAGGCAAAUCCGUAGCUCUAAAAGCUGAGAUGUGAUGACGAGUUACUAGCGAUAGUAACGAAGUGAUUGAUCCUACACUGUCGAGAAAAGCUUCUAGGUAGAGACACAUCGCCCGUACCAAAACCGACACAGGUAGGCGGGGAGAGAAUCCUAAGGUGCGCGGGAAAACCCUCGUUAAGGAACUCGGCAAAAUGCCUCCGUAACUUCGGGAAAAGGAGGACUCAUGUAGUGUGAAGAGCAGCAACGCUUGGAGCAUGAAUGAGUGGCACAAGAGAGGCGCAAGCGACUGUUUACCACAAACACAGGUGCCUGCUAAAGCGAAAGCUGACGUAUAGGUGCUGACACCUGCCCGGUGCUGGAAGGUUAAGAGGAGGGGUUAGACUUCGGUCGAAGCUCUGAAUUGAAGCCCCAGUAAACGGCGGCCGUAACUAUAACGGUCCUAAGGUAGCGAAAUUCCUUGUCGGGUAAGUUCCGACCCGCACGAAAGGCGUAACGAUUUGGGCACUGUCUCAACGAGGGACCCGGUGAAAUUGAAGUACCUGUGAAGAUGCAGGUUACCCGCGACUGGACAGAAAGACCCCAUGGAGCUUUACUGCAACCUAAGAUUGAACUUAGUUAAUGAAUGUACAGGAUAGGUGGGAGACGUAGAACCUAGGACGCCAGUUUUAGGGGAGUCACUGUUGGGAUACCACCCUUUCAUUAAUUGAUUUCUAACGGGCCGAGUAACGACCGGCCGGACAGUCUUAGGCGGGCAGUUUGACUGGGGCGGUCGCCUCCAAAAGAGUAACGGAGGCGCCCAAAGGUUCCCUCAGAGCGGACGGAAAUCGCUCGAAGAGUGUAAAGGCAGAAGGGAGCUUGACUGCGAGACGGACAGGUCGAGCAGGGACGAAAGUCGGGCUUAGUGAUCCGGUGGUGCCGAGUGGAAGGGCCAUCGCUCAACGGAUAAAAGCUACCCUGGGGAUAACAGGCUAAUCUCUCCCAAGAGUCCAUAUCGACGGGGAGGUUUGGCACCUCGAUGUCGGCUCAUCACAUCCUGGGGCUGAAGUAGGUCCCAAGGGUUCGGCUGUUCGCCGAUUAAAGUGGUACGUGAGCUGGGUUCAGAACGUCGUGAGACAGUUCGGUCCCUAUCCAUCGCGGGCGCAAGAAACUUGAAGGGGGCUGCUCCUAGUACGAGAGGACCGGAGUGGACGAACCGCUGGUGUACCAAUUAUCCUGCCAAGGGUACAGUUGGGUAGCUACGUUCGGGACGGAUAAACGCUGAAAGCAUCUAAGCGUGAAACCAGCCUUGAGAUGAGGUUUCUCAUAGCGUAAGCUAGUAAGAUCCCAUGUAGACGACAUGGUUGAUAGGCCAGGUGUGGAAGAGCCGUGAGGUUUGGAGCUGACUGGUACUAAUAGAUCGAGGGCUUUACUUA
rnacentral:rRNA from 1 species